GUGAUGUCAACAUGGUGUUAACAAUUUCUUUGUUGAGGAAAUAUAUAUAGAUAUGAGAAUUUGGUCCCAGUAUAUCCAUAUAUAUAGAUUGUCAAUCACACGAACAUGCAACUAGCAAUAUUUUCACACAACAUCAUUUUGGAAUGUGGUCCUUGUACAAUGUUCAUUCCUCAGUUAGUUAACCAGAGAUUUCAAUGGCUUUGACAUCGGCUGUUUUCACCAAGUGGGCACAAGAGCAAACAAAAACUCACACAUCACAGAAAGCAACAAACGAGUAAUCCCACUAAAAUCAAAGAUGCAGACUUUGCCGAGGUGUUUCCUAAAAGAAAGAAAAAGAAAAUGAAGGGCAGGGGGAGUCAACAGAGAAAGCGACUAAUGAGAGUGAGGCUCUUCAAAAUCAAAUGGGUAUGUACGGCGGUGGCCACCAUGACAAGGAAUAUUCGACGAUGAAGAUGGAGGCCUUUCCGAUUUUCAUGAAGCUCCUUCUAAUAUGUCGUAACCUGAGAAAGAGAAGGUGCUAAAUUAUAAUUCCUUGCUUUGAUCUUGAGAUGAGCUCAACUUCAGCUUCAUGGGCUCCUUUGGGUGGUGCUCUGUUUUGGGGCAGAGGAGGUCAUCUUUCCCAUCUGGCUUCAAGCACUUCAUUGCCAUGCUUAAUAUGAUAUGAUGAACAGCUCAUGCAAUAGACAAAGGUCGAGGGGAAGAAAAAGUAAGAGAGAUAAGACUUGAGGAAAGCCAAAUGAUAACAUUUACAGCUGCUGAAUGGCGACUAUUGACCAAUUGAUUAUAGUUGCGAUGGUGAUACUGAUUUGGUAAUAUCUUUGGGAUUCUGAAUAAUAUAAAAACUGAUG